rnacentral:sRNA from 1 species
CCUAACUCACCCAAGUCGACCGCCGUAGCAUUGUGGAGCGGCAGACGCGAGACCCACCCGUGGGAACGUUCCCUUCAGUUCCCAACAACCCAGGGAAACCUGGGCUAACCCCGGAUACCUCCGUAAGGAGAAAGAUUUAUAGCUGAAGUAUCGCCCCGUAUCCGACCAGCUCGUGGGGUAUUUUCCGGCUCACCAACGGGAAAAUCAGUAUCUGGUCUGAGAGGAUGAUCAGCCUCCUUUUUCCUCUUCACGGCGAAGACUCCUACCGUACUCCUUGUGGAGGUUUCUAAAGAUCUCCUGC